AUUGAACGCUGGCGGCAGGCCUAACACAUGCAAGUCGAGCGAGCGGCGGACGGGUGAGUAAUGUAGGGGGACUGCCCGAUAGAGGGGGAUAACUACUGGAAACGGUGGCUAAUACCGCAUACUAUCGGAUAACCCAUAUGGGAUUAGCUAGUAGGUGGGGUAAAGGCUAACCUAGGCGACGAUCCCUAGCUGGUCUGAGAGGGUGAUCAGCCACACUGGGACUGAGACACGGCCCAGACUCCUACGGAGGCAGCAGUAGGGAAUCUUACGCAAUGGGCGCAAGCCUGACGCAGCCAUGCCGCGUGUGUGAAGAAGGUUUUAGGGUCGUAAAGUACUUUCGUCGGAGAAGCGGUACCUAAAGAGGAAGCACCGGCUAACUACGUGCCAGCAGCCGCGGUAAUAC
rnacentral:rRNA from 1 species